rnacentral:lncRNA from 1 species
ACGAGCGGCCGCCGUAACCUGCCCCGAGCAGGGCGCGGGGGCUUGGCCGGAGCCCCGGGACACAGCGCCGACCUCCGCCGCUUGGCGCUGGUUCACCCAGGCCUCGCGGUUCCCCCCCCGCCUCAGGGGGAUUAAGGUGCCGCGGGGGGAGGCAGGGACCUGGCCGCGCCCCUCCUCUGAGGCCCCGCUCCCGCCUCCUGCCUCCUUCCUAACUGCUCGCCCCCCAUCAGAGUUUGUAGGUCGUGGCCCCAAUAAGCAGAGCCGAGAAGGUGCUUCUGGCUUUAGCUACCCUGGGCAGGGCAACGCUAGUGCAGUCAAAGCAACAAAACCCGCUCUCGGUUAUGAGAUUUGCCCACAGACAAUAACAGCCGAUUCCUCUUGGAAGUUACUGGUUUUGCAAAGCUUUUUAAGUCUAUGCAAACCAUCAGUCCGAUCCUCAGCGCAUAUCCCCUCUCAACCAAGCUUCUGCUGUUCCUUCUGGUCUGGGAGUUCAGCUCUUUCUUCUGCAACAGCAGCAACAUCAUCCACGUUUACAAUUGUUUUCAGUGAAUAUGGGCUGGAUGACUGUGGGAGAGAAAUCUGCGGCAGUGUUUGGGUAACCUGAGGUCUCAUCCGCCUUUAGCAAUUCAAUCAUCCAAGAACCUUGGCCAGAAUAAGCAGAAGGACACGAUUACACACCUUUUAUGCUGCUCUUGAGGACUUCCAAGCCGGAGUGCCCCAUCCGCAUCCAGCUUCAGAGGAGCUCCAAAGCAUCGCAGCUGCAUUCGCGUGCCAAGGGAUUCUUGGAAAAAGCUUCUUAUUUUGGUUAUAAUGGAGUAGUCAUCUCAGUUUAUGAGGAGCAGAGCCAUCUUGCUUGUGCUGCAAAGUAUUUUUGUUUUUGGGGGGGGGGGAGGUGGUGCAAGGUGGCGGGGGGGCAAGG